CUCCCUUCUCCAUUACUGCCUGACACUUCAAUACUUUGGCAAUCUAUGAUUUCUUCCAGGAGACAUGGACCCUGUUGACUGCCCAUGGACUCUUUUGAACUUGGCAUAAACUUCCAGGCAUGAAUAAAUUUCUUUGAAACUUA